UUAGCUUGUCCGAUAUCAAUUAAAAGAAUUUAAAUAUAUGUAGUACUUUAAAGCAAAGAAGACGUCUUUAUCUAAGAAUCAGACAUUUAAAUGCUUGCGGUAAAACUCAAUCUCUGCUGACCAUUUUUACAGCCUUCUUUAUCUAAGAAUCAGACAUUUUAAUGCUUGUGGUAAAAUUCAAUCUCUGCUGACCAUUUUUAGAGCAUUCUUUGGGACAUGUUAUGCCGUGGCGGUCCUUGAGAAAAGGAAGUAUUUCUCUUAGUGCCCUGGCUCCAUUUGGUGGUUUUGCUUUCAUGACUCUGAAUUAUUAGAGAUAACACAUCACUACCUCAAAUAUUAAGAUUGUGUUCUUUUGUAGCAAAAAGCAAAGGAGCUUGAUAAUUCUAGUGGACUAAUUGAGCUCUGUCAUGAUAUGUGCCAUCACAAGACUAAGGGUUGAACUGGACAGUACCAGAGGAGAAUUAUGCAAGUUUUUAUUUAUUUGUUUUUUUGUGUUUCUUUAUAAUUCAGUAUUCAUUAGUUUUUCUUUUCACUUGUUCAUUUUCAAUUGACAGCACAAGAUGAUAUAUUUGCAAACUCAAACUGGUCAUUCAAGUGAUGUAGCUGAGGGAAAUACCUCUACACCGCCCACAUUAAUGGCAGAGAAAGAUAUAAUGAAUAAUGUCCUUAGCACAUGAUCGGGAUAAGAAGGAGAUAAAAAAAAGGUUAUUUCUCUACUCAAAGUCAGGAACAAAUACGCAAGACCUUCAAGACUCUGCAGAUGCAGAUCGAUAACCUUACGAACUUGGAUGCACGUUGACAAAUGGAAUUUGAUAGUCUUAAGAACUUUGUGAAGUCUAUUCCCACAGUAUCAACCUCUUUUUGGUGACUCAUGUCCUUUGGAAUAGUGCCUUUAUCUAUCUUUUACUCUUAUUUUAGAACUUUCAGGUUUCUAAUACUUGAUUUUAGAGGAUGUUUAUUUAUCCUUAUGGAUGCUUUUGUCAUGAUUUUAGAGGAACUAAUAUUAUGUUCGACAUUUUAGAUAUCUUCUAUCUUUGUUUGCCCUAUCUUAAAUGCCUCUCAUGCUCUUCUUUUGGCCUUAGCUCCUUCUACAACACAUGAGGGUCCAUUCAACCAUGAUAAAAAAAAAAAGAAUAGAAAUUGACAUGAGGAGAAGAUGGCAAUAAUCACUCACACUCAUCACCCAUCUUCUGUUUUAUUGGUUUUCGGUUCAGACUGAACCCAAACAAUAUAGAUUCUCUGUCACACUCAAUCCCGCCAAAUAACAUGGGUUAUGUAUGGAUGCUGAAAGUGGACAACUAUAGUUUUGAUGUUAUUAAUUGUUUAAUUUUAAUUUAGGAUUUCCAUGUAGUCUUGCUUUGUUCUUCUGAUUUUUGAAAUGGUGAGGUAUUGUAACUACAAUUACAGAACACAAUCUUC